GUGGGUAGUUUGACUGGGGCGGUCUCCUCCUAAAGAGUAACGGAGGAGCACGAAGGUUGGCUAAUCCUGGUCGGACAUCAGGAGGUUAGUGCAAUGGCAUAAGCCAGCUUGACUGCGAGCGUGACGGCGCGAGCAGGUGCGAAAGCAGGUCAUAGUGAUCCGGUGGUUCUGAAUGGAAGGGCCAUCGCUCAACGGAUAAAAGGUACUCCGGGGAUAACAGGCUGAUACCGCCCAAGAGUUCAUAUCGACGGCGGUGUUUGGCACCUCGAUGUCGGCUCAUCACAUCCUGGGGCUGAAGUAGGUCCCAAGGGUAUGGCUGUUCGCCAUUUAAAGUGGUACGCGAGCUGGGUUUAGAACGUCGUGAGACAGUUCGGUCCCUAUCUGCCGUGGGCGCUGGAGAACUGAGGGGGGCUGCUCCUAGUACGAGAGGACCGGAGUGGACGCAUCACUGGUGUUCGGGUUGUCAUGCCAAUGGCACUGCCCGGUAGCUAAAUGCGGAAGAGAUAAGUGCUGAAAGCAUCUAAGCACGAAACUUGCCCCGAGAUGAGUUCUCCCUGAGACUUAAAGUCUCCUGAAGGAACGUUGAAGACGACGACGUUGAUAGGCCGGGUGUGUAAGCGCAGCGAUGCGUUGAGCUAACCGGUACUAAUG
rnacentral:rRNA from 1 species